rnacentral:rRNA from 1 species
AGAGUUUGAUCAUGGCUCAGAUUGAACGCUGGCGGUAGGCUUAACACAUGCAAGUCGUGCGAGAAAGUAUCUUCGGAUAUGAGUAGAGCGGCGGACGGGUGAGUAACGCGUAGGAAUCUACCUAGUAGAAGGGGAUAGCCCGGGGAAACUCGGAUUAAUACCGUAUACCUCCUUAGGGAGAAAGAGGGCCUCUCUUGAAGCUUUCGCUAUUAGAUGAGCCUGCGUAAGAUUAGCUUGUUGGUAAGGUAAUGGCUUACCAAGGCUACGGUCUUUAGCUGGUCUGAGAGGACGAUCAGCCACAUUGGGACUGAGACACGGCCCAGACUCCUACGGGAGGCAGCAGUGGGGAAUAUUGGACAAUGGGCGCAAGCCUGAUCCAGCCAUACCGCGUGUGUGAAGAAGGCUCUAGGGUUGUAAAGCACUUUAAGCAGGGAGAAAAAGUUAUAAAUUAAUACCUUAUAACCGUGAUGUUACCUGCAGAAUAAGCACCGGCUAAUUCCGUGCCAGCAGCCGCGGUAAUACGGAAGGUGCAAGCGUUAAUCGGAAUUACUGGGCGUAAAGCGCGCGUAGGUGGUUUGUUAAGUUGGAUGUGAAAGCCCUGGGCUCAACCUAGGAACUGCAUCCAAAACUAACUCACUAGAGUACGAUAGAGGGAGGUAGAAUUCAUAGUGUAGCGGUGGAAUGCGUAGAUAUUAUGAAGAAU